rnacentral:rRNA from 1 species
CCUACGGGAGGCAGCAGUGAGGAAUAUUGGUAAAUGGACGAGAGUCUGAACCAGCCAAGUAGCGUGAAGGAUGACUGCCCUAUGGGUUGUAAACUUCUUUUAUAUGGGAAUAAAAUGUUCCACGUGUGGGAUUUUGUAUGUACCAUAUGAAUAAGGAUCGGCUAACUACGUGCCAGCAGCCGCGGUAAUCCGGAGGAUCCGCGCGUUAUCCGGAUUUAUUGGGUUUAAAGGGAGAGUAGGUGGAUUGUUAAGUCAGUUGUGAAAGUUUUCGGCUCAACCGUAAAAUUGCAGUUGAAACUGGCAGUCGUGAGUACAGUAGAGGUGGGCGGAAUUCGUGGUGUAGCGGUGAAAUGCUUAGAUAUCACGAAGAACUCCGAUUGCGAAGGCAGCUCACUGGACUGCAACUGACACUGAGGCUCGAAAGUGGGGGUAUCAAACAGGAUUAGAUACCCGAGUAGUC